GUCCUGGGGCCGCCGGGGCUCCGCGGGCGCUGUCGUGGGCAACCCGGGCCCCCUUCGUGCGGGACCCGGGGCUGCCCGCUGCCAUCGCUCCCGGAGCGCCCCCGGGGCGCGGAGGGCGCGGGGACCCGGGCACGGGCUGCUGGGGACGCCCCGGAGCCCUUGUGGAUGCCGGCAGGCCCUCCCUCGGCCCGCGGGAACGCGGUGAACACCUGGGUCGGCUCAAGCCCGCGGGUGGGCGCCGGGACGCGGGGGAGGGCCGUGGCACCGCGUGGCACCGCGUGGCCCGCACCCGCGCGCUCCCCUGCCCCCUCCCGCGCCCCCCCUGCGCGCCCGACUGUCAGGCGGUCCGCAGCUCUCGGGGUGGCCAGGUGCGCUGUGCACGGGGCUGGGGAGCCCCUCCCAGACCCAGAGCCCCGCAGCAACCCGUGAGGAGUAACCCAACGCCACUAACGCCGCAGUGACUGACCUUCCGGAGGCCGGGCGCCCUUGGACUCCCUUCAGGACACUCAGCUAUUGAAAAUGAGCUCGUUCCGGGAAGACAGUGGUGACUCUGUUGCAGUGGCACCUGUGGCAUCUCACACCACACCUGGGCCGGACCUCGCCGAGACGGCCACCACCCGUGAUUCGCACCCAGAGCCCGAAGGCGGCUCCAGGCACAUUCUGUAACAUGAAACACGCUAUUCUGAUCAAGGGCGAAUGACAUCUCUUUGCACAUCCCUCCACAGGCUUCAGGAGGUGACUAGAGGCCUCUUUGAGGGUUUCUUUGCAGUAAAAAUAUUUCCCUGUUAAGGGGUGCUGCCCUGACUCUAUGUUAAAGCUUAAUGGUCAGAGAUUUCACGGUGUGUUGAGUUCAAGAUGUCCAUGCCGAUACCACCCAGAGAGAGAAAUGCUGUCGUCCCCGACCUAUGCGCACGUUGGAAAGGGGUGUUGGGGUGCAGGUGGCGGGUGGUGCUGACGCAGUGGCCGGACUUCUCGGCACUCCGUGUAGUUGUCCUGACUCCAUAACUCGAGCAUGAUGCACUUUAUCUUCGUCGGAUCUUUUUCCCAAUCACUAAGUGACAUUAAUAUAUUUCUGCCUUACGGAAUCCCUGGGUGGCUCAGCAGUUUAGCACCUGCCUUUGGCCCAGGGCGUGAUCCUGGAGUCCCGGGAUUGAGUCCCAUGUCGGGGUCCCUGCAUGGAGCCUGCUUCUCCCUCCUCCUGUGUCUCUGCCUCUCUCUCUCUAUGUCUAUCAUGAAUAAAUUAAAAAAAAUAUAUAUAUAUAUUUCUGCC
rnacentral:lncRNA from 12 species